AAAACGGCCCCGCGCGAGAUUCCGGCGGCCGUACCGGCUUGCCCAGGCCGCCGCCUCAGCUGACCGGGUCGCUACGAGGCCGCCGCGGGCUCCGCAGUGUCGCAGGGAGGCUACCGACACCGUCCACCCGGCCGCCCUCCGCCGAUCGUCGCCGAGCUGCAGGCUGCGCGGACCUGGCCAAUCGCACACACCCAACGAGCCUAGCAAGAGCCGCGGUCCCGUACGUGGCAGGUGGGAAGCGCAGGGGCGGGAGCAAAGAAAAAAAAACUGCCCUGGCGCCCCGCCUCAAGACGGACAGGCCAACCAGAGCGCAUGCGCAGUGGAGUGAGGGGCGGGACGGGCGAAGACCCCGCUGCGUCGGGUGAGCGGCCCAGCUUCCUCACUGGAUGACCAAGUGUAGGAAGUGUGAGCCGAGGCGGACACGCAUGCGCGAGGAAUUACCAGCACUUCCGGUUUUCCCGACAGCUAGUAAUUGCUAACUCUCUCCGGUGGGCGGGGCGUAGUCUGCAGGGCUGGGCUUGCUCUGAGAGCCUUGGUGGAGAGUUGAUUAUUCUGGUCACAAAACACUUUUUUAAACAAAACACCUUUUCCUAAAGAGGACACUGGUUGCCAAACUCCAUUGGCAAAAGUUUAAUGCAUGCAAGCAACUGGAGCCACUUUGUUCUAGAAGAUCCACUUGUGGACUGAGUGCAGUGUACAGAUGUCCGUAUGGAAAGGAUACUUGGAAUGGACAGGCUUGCAGAAUUCAGUCCGAGCGUAUGGCUUCAUCUGUGCAAUGUUCUGCCCCAUCCACGCUGUAAACUAUGGGCAGGAGGUUGCAGCAUGUGUGUGCUCAGGGCCUCCUGAUCUUUAUCAACCAAGCCUGCUAAAUAGUAGCGAUAGCAAGAAGACCACCUACUGAGGUCAGAAAAUCACACUGAGAAGACUGCAGUUGUUUGAGACCUGGUAAGCCAGGGAAUGUGGUCUCAGUGUCACUAAAGGUGGAUACCAGCACCUCCUUCCUUACAGCUCUCUUAUUUCAAGUAUUCAAAUUUCGUUUCCUGAAUUUGGGAGACUUUUGAAGAGAAGAUAUUUUUUUCAUAAAACUGUGUGGUUUAAUUUUUGCUUGAGCCAAUGUGUCACAACACUAGACUACUGAGUUAGACGAGACGGGGAGACUAUCCAGCUUCUCAGUCAAAGUCCAUUGGGAAAUCUCUCCUGAAUACUACACUCCCAGGCCUUGUGCAGACGUUGGAAACGUUUGCAGGGGUCUGAGGUGUGCUGAGGUGCUGUGUUAGCAUAUACAUUAGUCCUUGCUGACAGCUUCCACUCUCGGAGAGUCUCACCUUGUCAGAUUCUGGUUGUUCUUCCACAACACUUUGACUGUGAUUAUGACAAAUAUAGCAAUGUUGGUGAUGAGGAUAAUGGUCACCGGCAUGAUGAACGACCACAAAAGUGGACUUCUGGCAAAAUCAUUGUUCUUGGGAACGGCCAGCCAGCAGCUGUGGGGAAAAAAAUAUCUCAGCAAACUAAAGAAAGGACAAAUACCAACCCCUUUUGCUCUUACCACUAUUGACUUUCAUGGAACUGAAGUCCUUGCUAAGAAUAUCCCUUGGCAUCUGAUACAUCUGAGGUUACUCUCCGGAAUCCAGCCCAUUAGAAAAGUUGGAUCUGCCAAAUUUUCCUCGAGUCAUUGUGGGCCAGCAGAAGGUAAACUGAGUCAGAUAGACCCAAACUACUUACUAGUAUUGUUGUUGUUUUCAUUGUGGGAAGAAGAAACCCAGAACUAAUUUUUUUUAAUAAAACCUCAAUUGUUUGAUUUUACCAAUGAAGACUCAGGAGUCAGAUAGAUGCUGGGGUGAAAGCCUGCCAGCUCAGAGAGGCAGAGAAAGCACCCAGCUGACCUUCCUCCUCAGCUGAUGUCCCAGAAGCAAUGACCCUCUUUCAAGCUACCCCAAUAAACUCCCUUCAAACCAAA